GAUGAACGCUGGCGGUAUGCUUAACACAUGCAAGUCGAACGGUACCUUCGGGUAUAGUGGCGGACGGGUGAGUAACGCGUGAGAAUCUGUCUUCAGGUCGGGGACAACAGUUAGAAAUGGCUGCUAAUACCGGAUGUGCUGUAAGGUGAAAGAUUUAUUGCCUGAAAAGAGCUCGCGUCAGAUUAGCUAGUAGGUGGUGUAAGAGACUACCUAGGCGACGAUCUGUAGCUGGUCUGAGAGGACGAUCAGCCACACUGGAACUGAGACACGGUCCAGACUCCUACGGGAGGCAGCAGUGGGGGAAUUUUCCGCAAUGGGCGAAAGCCCGACGGAGCAAUACCGCGUGAGGGACGAAGGCUUUUGGGUCGUAAACCUCUUUUAUUAGGGAAGAUUUCAGGACGGUACCUAAUGAAUAAGCAUUGGCUAACUCUGUGCCAGCAGCCGCGGUAAU
rnacentral:rRNA from 1 species